CANGGCGGCGGCCUACACAUGCAAGUCGGACGGUAGCACAGAANAGCUUGCUCUUUGGGUGACGAGUGGCGGACGGGUGAGUAAUGUCUGGGAAACUGCCCGAUAGAGGGGGAUAACUACUGGAAACGGUAGCUAAUACCGCAUAACCUCGCAAGAGCAAAGUGGGGGACCUUCGGGCCUCACGCUAUCGGAUGUGCCCAGAUGGGAUUAGCUAGUAGGUGGGGUAACGGCUCACCUAGGCGACGAUCCCUAGCUGGUCUGAGAGGAUGACCAGCCACACUGGAACUGAGACNCGGUCCAGACUCCUACGGGAGGCAGCAGUGGGGAAUAUUGCACAAUGGGCGCAAGCCUGAUGCAGCCAUGCCGCGUGUAUGAAGAAGGCCUUCGGGUUGUAAAGUACUUUCAGCGGGGAGGAAGGCGGUGAGGUUAAUAACCUUGCCNAUUGACGUUACCCGCACAAUAUACACCGGCUAACU
rnacentral:rRNA from 1 species